GACAUCACUCGCAGAAGAAGCACCGGCUAACUCCGUGCCAGCAGCCGCGGUAAUACGGAGGGAGCUAGCGUUGUUCGGAAUUACUGGGCGUAAAGCGCACGUAGGCGGACUUUUAAGUCAGAUGUGAAAUCCCAAGGCUCAACCUUGGAACUGCAUUUGAAACUGGGAGUCUAGAGAUCAGGAGAGGUUAGUGGAAUACCGAGUGUAGAGGUGAAAUUCGUAGAUAUUGGGUAGAACACCGGUGGCGAAGGCGGUCAUCUGGCG
rnacentral:rRNA from 13 species